UAGCCUAGGCAUUAAAGCACCCAUUUCGGCAAUGGAUAAAAUACUCUGGAAAUCUAAUUGCUUGGGCCCAAAAGUAUCUGUAUUGAGCAUUCCAAACUAAAGCUCUUGGAAAGGGGUUAGAUAAAUGGCGUUUCCACCAGAAAUGCUGGCUCUCAGCCUCAGUCUGUCGCAAUGCUGGAGCGUUUGAGUAGACUCAGUGACUGAAGAUACUUCUUCAAAAAAAACCUCAGUGGUUCCAUUUGGAUGGAAACAGAUCCCUUCCCCCGCAAAUCCUAUUCCCAGGAUACAAGAUCAAGUUUCUGAUGCACCUUGAGGAGGCCCAAGGGUGAGAGGAACCAUUUGUAGAAACCUGCGUGAGUGACCUGCUCCUGAAUUAGGUGUUCGUUCUGGGGAAAAUUUGUCCUGCAAGUGUCACUUAGGAUGUGGCCCAAAAUGUAUCCCUAACUUUCCUUGAUCUAAUCUAGAGCACUAUACUUCUGACUGUUUUGGGUGAGGGGAAAAAUCAGCAUUGCAUUUUUGCUGUUAACGUUUGAACGGGUCAUUGUUGCCGAUACCUUGAUCAAUGCAGUAGUGGAACGAGGUCCUGACUGAGGACCUUGCUCCACUGGCGCAUCUCACAAAGCUAGCUCUGGUCUUGUUUUGGGGGGCUUUGCAUGAUGGAUGAAUCUAGCCAUUGCGAUUUCUAAACCACGGGUUAUGGUUUACUACUGAUGCUACGAAUCAGGCAACUGUGUCUUUCUCAACAAACCAUGUUUAAAAAAUAGCUCAACGUAAUGCGUGAACUGAACAAAACUCUCUAGUAUCUUUCACGAUGCUCUUUGUAUGAGCGCUGAGGUGUACAAAACUGUGUUGAUAAGAGCAGGUCACGUUCCAUGGUAUAAUCUGUAAAGAAAUGUCCUCAGUUGUUGCUCCUGCUGGGUUCUCCUGUGGAAGCAGUUUUCUCGCUGCUUGCUCUCUGGCUGGUAUGACUUCAAGAGGAGAAAACACUACCCUUUGAAACUAAUGAAUAGUCCAAGAGCAUAAAUAUUCUCUGGACUCAGUAUGACUUUCAUGGUGAGUUGGUUGAGCAGAAAUUAGAGAGAAUUUCAGGCUGGAGCUGGUGAAAAAAAUUGUGCUCAUAGCUAUGGUGGCUACUCCCUUUCUUAGUAGUAUGGUCUGCUGUGACUAUUCAGACAUGCCAACUAGCACCUUGAAUCAUCAAGAAAAGCAAACCUUGCCUUCUGGUAGAGUUGUGGUAUAUUCCUGCAGACUUCUUAGAUACAAAGAAGUUGGUGGCCUUUAAAGUCAUAAUCCAUCAGGACAUGUAACCUUAAAAUCAUACAAACAUUGAAUUCGAAGGGGUCACUGAGGCCAUCAAGUCCAACCUCCUACUUGGUGCAGGAAUCCUAGUAAAAACAUCCCACUGGCUGCUCUGCUUUGGAACGCACCCAGUGAAAGAAUAUCACACACACACCCCACAACUGCACGUGUGGAAUCUGCGUGAGCUUGUUGGAGAACGAGGAGAGGGGGUGAUCGUAAUAAAAAGUGAAGUAACUUGGGUGAGUGGAUUGUGUAUGUUGGGAGUGGUGAAAAGUGUAGUAAAUACAAAUGAAUAGCGAUCCAAGCUCAUAUUUUGCCUUUGCCUUUCAUUGAGGUUUUUGGGCAAAUUGUUUUUAUUCCCACUCAUUGGCUUUUCUGAGAAAUUGGUGCCUGUGUCCUACUAUACCCACCACAGAGAACAUUUUACAAUUGAAAAUGUAUUCUGGUACUUCAAAAUCCCAAAUGUGCCAUAAGCUAAAAAGGUUGGUAACUCCCUGUUCGUUUGUUUGUUUGUUUGUUUUUCUAUCCCGCCUUUAUUAUUUUCAUAAAUAACUCAAGGUGGUGAACAUACCUAAUACUCCUUCCUCCUCCUAUUUCUUUACUAAAGCUAGAGAAAAGAGGUGGAUUGAAAUUAUUUGUUAGUAUGACAUAAAUUUGUCAUCUUGCACUAUCUGAAAAGAGCUUUCUUGCCACCUUGCUAAGGAAUGAGGGCUACCUGAUUUUGAAGGCUGUUGAAACCUAGACUUAAGAGCCUGACUAUAAAAUGUGAUGUGCAAUAAAACUGCUUUUGAACUUGCAGUUGUCUUUAUUUUAAGUCUGCGUCUUGACAUAAAUGAACAAUCUAUAUUACAGAAUAAAAGAAUGACAUAAUUUGUUGCUACGUAGUCAAAAUCCUUGGAAGAAGAAGAAUGUUUCCUUUAAAAAAGUAAUUGUAAAUUCAGGAGGGAGGGUUCCUUUAAUAUUUAAUCUAGACUCUUGUGGCAGGCAAAUUCAGCUGCAGACUAUGCAAAACUAUUUCCUUUGUGGUUUGUAAUCAAUAGAAUUUAUUAAAUGUUAUGCAAAGACCAAAUUAGUAGUUUUAUAUAUGCAAGCAAAGUAUUAAGAUCCAAAUCAGGCAUGCCAGGAACUAUUAAAUGUUGUCCAAACACUUUCAGGAUGCCAGUGCUGGUUUGUUAGUUUGGAUUAAGGUCAGCCAAAAAUGUGUUUGGAUUGUUAGGGAGGAAUAUGAGGAAGCUGACUGUGGCCUUUAGACAUUUGGUGGCAAAAUAGACAAUUUAGCACCCCAACGGUUUAAUGGUGCUCACCUUUGCAUGUGGUGGUGGACUCUGGUUGAGUUUGGGCCAGACGCUGAACAUUGGC